GAUGGAGAACGCAGCGAAAUGCGAUAAGUAGUGUGAAUUGCAGAAUUCAGUGAAUCAUCGAAUCUUUGAACGCACAUUGCGCCCCUUGGUAUCCCGAGGGGCAUGCCUGUUCGAGCGUCAUUUCACCACUCAAGCCUGGCUUGGUGUUGGGCGACGUCCCCUUUGGGGACGCGCCUCGAAACGCUCGGCGGCGUGGCACCGGCUUUAAGCGUAGCAGAAUCUUUCGCUUUGGAAGUCGGGGCCCCGUCUGCCGGAAGACCUACUCGCAAGGUUGACCUCGGAUCAGGCAGGGAUACCCGCUGAACUUAAGCAUAUCAAUAAGCGGAGGA
rnacentral:misc_RNA from 1 species